AUUGAACGCUGGCGGCAUGCUUUACACAUGCAAGUCGAACGGUAACAGGCCGCAAGGUGCUGACGAGUGGCGAACGGGAGAGUAAUGCAUCGGAACGUGCCCAGUCGUGGGGGAUAACGCAGCGAAAGCUGUGCUAAUACCGCAUACGAUCUAGGGAUGAAAGGGGGGGACCGUAAGGCCUCGCGCGAUUGGAGCGGCCGAUGUCAGAUUAGGUAGUUGGUGGGGUAAAGGCUCACCAAGCCAACGAUCUGUAGCUGGUCUGAGAGGACGACCAGCCACACUGGGACUGAGACACGGCCCAGACUCCUACGGGAGGCAGCAGUGGGGAAUUUUGGACAAUGGGCGCAAGCCUGAUCCAGCAAUGCCGCGUGCAGGAAGAAGGCCUUCGGGUUGUAAACUGCUUUUGUACGGAACGAAACGGUCUGGGUUAAUACCCUGGGCUAAUGACGGUACCGUAAGAAUAAGCACCGGCUAACUACGUGCCAGCCGCCGCCGUAACAC
rnacentral:rRNA from 1 species